GGUGAGUAAUGUCUGGGAAACUGCCUGAUGGAGGGGGAUAACUACUGGAAACGGUAGCUAAUACCGCAUAACGUCGCAAGACCAAAGAGGGGGACCUUCGGGCCUCUUGCCAUCGGAUGUGCCCAGAUGGGAUUAGCUAGUAGGUGGGGUAACGGCUCACCUAGGCGACGAUCCCUAGCUGGUCUGAGAGGAUGACCAGCCACACUGGAACUGAGACACGGUCCAGACUCCUACGGGAGGCAGCAGUGGGGAAUAUUGCACAAUGGGCGCAAGCCUGAUGCAGCCAUGCCGCGUGUAUGAAGAAGGCCUUCGGGUUGUAAAGUACUUUCAGCGGGGAGGAAGGGAGUAAAGUUAAUACCUUUGCUCAUUGAC
rnacentral:rRNA from 1 species